CUACGGGUUGCUCCAGUGAGGAAUAUUGCACAAUGGGGGGAACCCUGAUGCAGCAACGCCGCGUGGAGGAUGACGCAUUUCGGUGUGUAAACUCCUUUUAUAUGUCAAGAAAAUGACGGUAGCAUAUGAAUAAGCGCCGGCUAACUCCGUGCCAGCAGCCGAGGUAAUACGGAGGGCGCAAGCGUUACUCGGAAUCACUGGCGUAAAGGACGCGUAGGCGGGUUGAAAAGUCAGGUGUGAAAGCCUACAGCUUAACUGUAGAACUGCACUUGAAACUCUCAACCUAGAGUAUGGGAGGGGCAGAUGGAAUUAGUGGUGUAGGGGUAAAAUCCGUAGAUAUCACUAGGAAUACCUAAAGCGAAGGCGAUCUGCUGGAACAUUACUGACGCUAAGGCGUGAAAGCGUGGGGAGCAAACAGGAUUAGAUACCCUAGUAGUC
rnacentral:rRNA from 1 species